rnacentral:pre_miRNA from 1 species
UAGGUACUCCCUCCGUCCGGAAAUACUUGUCAUCAAAAUGAAUAAAAGGAGAUGUAUCUAGACAUAUUUUAGUUCUAGAUACAUCCCUUUUUAUCCAUUUUGAUGAUAAGUAUUUCCAGACGGAGGGAGUAUGCU